rnacentral:rRNA from 1 species
UUGAACGCUGGCGGCCUGCCUUACCCCUGCCAGUCGAACGGUAACAGGUCUUCGGAUGCUGACGAGUGGCGACCGGGUGAGUAAUACAUCGGAACGUGCCCGAUCGUGGGGGAUAACGAGGCGAAAGCUUUGCUAAUACCGCAUACGAUCUACGGAUGAAAGCGGGGGAUCUUCGGACCUCGCGCGGACGGAGCGGCCGAUGGCAGAUUAGGUAGUUGGUGGGAUAAAAGCUUACCAAGCCGACGAUCUGUAGCUGGUCUGAGAGGAUGAUCAGCCACACUGGGACUGAGACACGGCCCAGACUCCUACGGGAGGCAGCAGUGGGGAAUUUUGGACAAUGGGCGAAAGCCUGAUCCAGCCAUGCCGCGUGCAGGAUGAAGGCCUUCGGGUUGUAAACUGCUUUUGUACGGAACGAAAAGCCUCUUUCUAAUAAAGAGGGGUCAUGACGGUACCGUAAGAAUAAGCACCGGCUAACUACGUG